UACGAAGGGGGCUAGCGUUGCUCGGAAUUACUGGGCGUAAAGGGCGCGUAGGCGGCACUAUUAGUCAGGCGUGAAAUUCCUGGGCUCAACCUGGGGACUGCGCUUGAUACGGCAGAGCUAGAGGAUGGAAGAGGCUCGCGGAAUUCCCAGUGUAGAGGUGAAAUUCGUAGAUAUUGGGAAGAACACCGGUGGCGAAGGCGGCGAGCUGGUCCAUUACUGACGCUGAGGCGCGACAGCGUGGGGAGCAAACAGG
rnacentral:rRNA from 1 species